rnacentral:rRNA from 1 species
GACGAACGCUGGCGGCGUGCCUAAUACAUGCAAGUCGAACGCACAGUUUAUACCGUAGCUUGCUACACCAUAGACUGUGAGUUGCGAACGGGUGAGUAACGCGUAGGUAACCUGCCUGGUAGCGGGGGAUAACUAUUGGAAACGAUAGCUAAUACCGCAUAAUAUUAAUUAUUGCAUGAUAAUUAAUUGAAAGGUGCAAUUGCACCACUACCAGAUGGACCUGCGUUGUAUUAGCUAGUAGGUGAGGUAACGGCUCACCUAGGCGACGAUACAUAGCCGACCUGAGAGGGUGAUCGGCCACACUGGGACUGAGACACGGCCCAGACUCCUACGGGAGGCAGCAGUAGGGAAUCUUCGGCAAUGGACGAAAGUCUGACCGAGCAACGCCGCGGGAGUGAAGAAGGGUUUCGGAUCGGAAAGCUCUGUUGUAAGAGAAGAACGGGUGUGAGAGUGGAAAGUUCACACUGUGACGGUAUCUUAACAGAAAGGGACGGCUAACUACGUG